AAUCAACGCUGGCGGCGUGCCUAACACAUGCAAGUCGAACGAGAAAGUGGAGCAAUCCAUGAGUAAAGUGGCGACCGGGUGAGUAACACGUGACUAACCUACCUCCGAGUGGGGAAUAACUCCGGGAAACCGGGGCUAAUACCGCAUAACAUCGCAAGAUCAAAGCAGCAAUGCGCUUGGAGAGGGGGUCGCGGCUGAUUAGCUAGUUGGUAGGGUAAUGGCCUACCAAGGCGAAGAUCGGUAUCCGGCCUGAGAGGGCGCACGGACACACUGGAACUGAAACACGGUCCAGACUCCUACGGGAGGCAGCAGUGGGGAAUUUUGCGCAAUGGGGGAAACCCUGACGCAGCAACGCCGCGUGGAGGAUGAAGCCCCUUGGGGCGUAAACUCCUUUCGACCAAGACGAUAAU
rnacentral:rRNA from 1 species